GACGUAGGGCGCGAGCGUUGUCCGGAUUUAUUGGGCGUAAAGAGCUCGUAGGCGGCUUGUCGCGUCGUCCGUGAAAACCUGCAGCUCAACUGCAGGCUUGCGGUCGAUACGGGCAGGCUAGAGUUCGGUAGGGGAGACUGGAAUUCCUGGUGUAGCGGUGAAAUGCGCAGAUAUCAGGAGGAACACCAGUGGCGAAGGCGAGUCUCUGGACGACUCCUGACAGCUGAGGCACGAAAGCCAGGGGAGCAAACAGG
rnacentral:rRNA from 1 species